rnacentral:tRNA from 1 species
GGAUGUGGCUCAGUGGCAGAGCGCCUGCCCAGCACGCACAAGGCCCUGGGUUCCAUCCCCAGCGCCA